UAGUACGAGAGGACCGGAGUGGACGCAUCACUGGUGUUCGGGUUGUCAUGCCAAUGGCACUGCCCGGUAGCUAAAUGCGGAAGAGAUAAGUGCUGAAAGCAUCUAAGCACGAAACUUGCCCCGAGAUGAGUUCUCCCUGAGACUUAGAGUCUCCUGAAGGAACGUUGAAGACGACGACGUUGAUAGGCCGGGUGUGUAAGCGCAGCGAUGCGUUGAGCUAACCGGUACUAAUGAACCGUGAGGCUUAACCUUAC
rnacentral:rRNA from 1 species